AAUUCUAGAGCUAAUACAUGCAAUAAAGCUCCGCCCGCAAGGAACGAGCGCAUUUAUUAGAAUAAAAACCAAUCGGGUUUUGGCCCGUAAUUUGGUGAAUCUGAAUAACUUUGCCAAUCGCACAGUCCUAGUACUGGCGAUGUAUCUUUCAAGUGUCUGCCUUAUCAACUUUCGAUGGUACGCUAUACGCCUACCAUGGUAGUAACGGGUAACGGAGAAUAAGGGUUCGACUCCGGAGAGGGAGCCUGAGAAACGGCUACCACAUCCAAGGAAGGCAGCAGGCGCGCAAAUUACCCACUUCCAGAACGGAGAGGUAGUGACGAAAAAUAACGAGACAGUCCUCUUCGAGGUCUGUCAUCGGAAUGGGUACAAUUUAAAUCCUUUAACGAGGAUCUAUUGGAGGGCAAGUCUGGUGCCAGCAGCCGCGGUAAUUCCAGCUCCAAUAGCGUAUAUUAAAGUUGUUGCGGUUAAAACGCUCGUAGUUGGAUUUGCGGCCUCGAAGAACGGUCCCCCGAAAGGGCGGUCACUGUCUCUUCUAGCCUAAAGUCGAGUUGUCUCUAGGUGCUCUUUAUUGAGUGCUUAGAGUGACUAGAACGUUUACUUUGAAAAAAUUAGAGUGCUUAAAGCAGACGAAAUAGUCUGAAUAAGGUGCAUGGAAUAAUGGAAUAGGACCUCGGUUCUAUUUUGUUGGUUUUCGGAGCCCGAGGUAAUGAUUAAGAGGAACAGACGGGGGCAUUCGUAUUCCGGCGCUAGAGGUGAAAUUCUUGGACCGCCGGAAGACGAACAACUGCGAAAGCAUUUGCCAAGAAUG
rnacentral:rRNA from 1 species